CGCCCUCAUUAAAACCUGAGCGAGCAGCGACAGUCCGCCAUAUUUAUCUCCUUGCAAGAGCCGCUUGUGCCAAAUUGAGAAUGUCCCAGCUACGAGGUAAACACGCCAGAUGUUCUGUUGUUGGCUGCAAGAGCAAGCACAAGAGUCUUCAUGCACUCCCGGCAUCUGAGCCACAGAAGACACAGUGGAUUAGUUUUAUUUUUGAUGGCAAUGUGCCCACAACAAUAGUAAAAUCCAUAUAUGUUUGUGCAAACCAUUUUACGUCGGACUGCUUCAUCAACGAGGGUCAACACAAGGCUGGAUUUGCUUCCAAGCUAAGGAUCAAGGAUGGAUCGAUACCAACUCUCCGUGACCCAGCUUCAGAUUUACAAGUCUUGACCUAUCAGCCCAAAUUGCUUUGUGAGAUUGGGUGCCAGACAGAUGAAGCUUUCAAAAAAGAUGCUGCCUGCCAGACAAAUCUUGAAGCGCCCAUCAAGAAAGAAACCAUAAAAGAAGAACACAAGCCACUACCGCUGCUGGAGACAUACAAUAUCAUCACUGUAAAAAAGGAGGAGGAACUUUGGGACAGCUGAGGAGAAGCCUCACAUAUGGCAUGGCUAGUGGAUCUUCUCUUUAACUGCGUGUUGGAGGAGCCCCAGUAGUUUCAGGACCUUCACAAGAAAAUUGUAGGUUCCGGAACACCUUUUCACACAAUUGGAAAGACCUAAAAAGUGGGAGGCUGUGGCACUGCACACGUCACGCUUUAAACCCAUGGACACCAAAGAAAAAACACACUCUUUUUAUGCAUAUCUGCACUGCAGUCAAUAAAUAAAAGUUUUCAUUUGAAUAAAA